UGCUGGGUGCUUUGUGUGGAUUUGUGUGUAUUACGUCGAAUCGAGAAACUGAAUUUAUUUUUACUUUUAUUUACCUUGAUUCAAAGAGUUUUAUUUUUAUAAUCAAACCAUAUUACUGAUAACAGUGUACAAUUUGCGACGCGAGAAAUUAUAAACGAUACACAAACGCACAAAGUAACAAAAAAAAAAAAAAA